UUAAGCAAGAAAAAUAAUUUAUUUGAAUGAUAUAAUAAUUUGUAUCACAUUAGCAAGACAUACAUAGCUGCAUGUGUUCAAACCUACAGCUACAUACACCACACUGCUGGAUCUGAAAACUGAGGUUGUCAACAAUCAUCAUUAUUACAAUAUAAGCAGUCGAGUUUUUAAUAUGUCCUUCCAAUGAGAAAUAACAAAAAUAGAGUAAUUCCAAAAACUCUCUCUCUUCUUCUUGGUGUCUUUCUCUUUUGAGUAGCCCAGCCAUCCUAUACCCUAUUGUUUCAUGAUUUCUGGGUAUUGUCACUCAAUGGGGGUGUGCACUUGUAAAAUUGGUGAAGAUCUUCCUGGUCCAAUACUGACUUGAGCUAAGUGAACUUAACAUGGACCUAAGUAAAUCAAAUCUAAUUUAAGUCUACUUAAUCUGAAUAGGGCACCAUGAGCCAUGUUUGUGCUGGACAACUGCUCCUUUCUUAUACAAAGGGACAGGAGCUCUUACUGACCACGUGACUUGACAGGAAAACCAUCUGGGUCAGAGUUAUACUCCUAUAUUCUAUAACUAGACUCCAGAGUGUUCCUGCAUGGUCAUGUGAUGUGUUGAGAAAAACAUAUGGAGGAAGAUCCCUGUCAAAAUGCUAAUGCCAAAAUGUUUUUCCAUAAAAACUCCUGUCCCUGAUCAUGCUAUAUUGAAUCUGAAUAAGGGUUUUCUGAAGGGACUUACAUUGUAUCUACAGAUUACCCUUCAAGACACCUUUAAGAGCGAUGUCAAUUGUCACGACACCCUAUUCUCUUUCUCAUGCAUUACUUUUGACCAGAGCCAACCUUUAGUGUGGUGCACUUCAUGGGGAAUAGAGUGUCUUUUGAGAUUGUUUUAAAAUGAAUAUCUAUUCAUUUGUUUGUGUUUGCUUAGCACUGUGACGACCAGAUGGUUGUCAACAGCUUGUUAUGUGGCUACUUUAUGCAGAUGCCAAAACAAAACAUAAACACAAACUGUCUAGAGGACAUUGUUUUCUUUCAUCCGUCCUCUCCCAGUAUUUGUCUCUCCAUCCCACUCUCCCUUACUCUCUUUCCCUCCCUUUCUCUCCAUCUCUCCCACCGUCUCUUUCUCCCCCCUGACUUAAUUUUCAUUGGGGAGUUUGGGCUGGAGAAAUCUUUAAGAGCUGUCCUCAACAGUAACAGAAUAAUGAAAAAAAAAGAGAGUUAUUAACCCAUCUGUGGUCUCCUCCUCCAAGACUCAAAUAUACACUGUUGAAAUGUUAGCCAACGUCUCCUCAUCCCCAUUUAAUUUCUGUCCCUUAUACCAUGUAAUAAUCCACCAAAAACACAUUCAUAGACAAUGUUGUUUGGAGUUUGGAGAGCCCACUCUUAUAAAUCCCCAUGUGUGGGAACAGUAGACUACUGAAGAGGUUGUGUGUGUGUGUGUGUGUGUGUGUGUGUGUGUGUGUGUGUGUGUGUGUGAGUGAGUGUGUGCUGCCCAAUCUUUCUGUGGCCAAGUUUAGACACUGUAACUGGAAUGAGAGUUGGAGUAUUUAGUGAGUAUUUGUCCUUGGUGUCAGUGAAAACCUGUUUAUGCCUAAUUUUCAGUCCUGGGCUGUCAACUAUUGGUUACUAUUGGUUCUGUUCAUCCAACUCGUAUCCCUCACCAUGUCUCUCAUUUUCUAUUUCUUUCUGUCGUUGUACCUGUGUUUUGUGAACAAUCUAGGUAAAUGGCUAAGAGUAUUAAGGAAUCAUGAUGACUGUUACUGUUACAGACAAUAGUAACCACAGCAUACAGUAUUACUGUAAGAACCACAGUAUGUUACUGUAGUGUAUACAGUGGAUACAAAAAGUCUACACACCCCUGUUAAAAUGCCAGGUUCUUGUGAUGUAAAAGAAUGAGACAAAGAUAAAUCAUGUCAGAAAAUUUUCCACCUUUAAUGUGACCUAUAACGUGAACAAUUAAAUUGAAAAUCAAACUGAAAUCUUUGAGGG
ensembl:lncRNA